rnacentral:rRNA from 1 species
UAAAAACUCAAAAUGAAUUGACGGGGGCCCCGCACAAGCGGUGGAGCAUGUGGUUUAAUUCGAUGCAACGCGAAGAACCUUACCUACUCUUGACAUCCAGAGAACUUUCCAGAGAUGGAUUGGUGCCUUCGGGAACUCUGAGACAGGUGCUGCAUGGCUGUCGUCAGCUCGUGUUGUGAAAUGUUGGGUUAAGUCCCGCAACGAGCGCAACCCUUAUCCUUUGUUGCCAGCGGUCCGGCCGGGAACUCAAAGGAGACUGCCAGUGAUAAACUGGAGGAAGGUGGGGAUGACGUCAAGUCAUCAUGGCCCUUACGAGUAGGGCUACACACGUGCUACAAUGGCGCAUACAAAGAGAAGCGAACUCGCGAGAGCAAGCGGACCUCAUAAAGUGCGUCGUAGUCCGGAUUGGAGUCUGCAACUCGACUCCAUGAAGUCGGAAUCGCUAGUAAUCGUAGACCAGAAUGCUACGGUGAAUACGUUCCCGGGCCUUGUACACACCGCCCGUCACACCAUGGGAGUGGGUUGCAAAAGAAGUAGGUAGCUUAACCUUCGGGAGGGCGCUUACCACUUUGUGAUUCAUGACUGGGGUGAAGUCGUAACA